rnacentral:ncRNA from 1 species
AAGAUUUGCACCAAUUUCAUCGAUCAUUAUACCACAUUACGGGUACUAAAAGUGUAGAUAUGUGUGUGUAUAUAGUUAGUCAGGGUCUUGCGUCUGAUUAGCUAGUUGGUAAGAUAAUAGCUUACCAAUGCGAUGAUAAGUAGCUAGUCCAAGAAGAUGAUCAGCCACACUAGAAUUGAGACACGACCCAACGGGGAAUUUCAAUGGGCGAAAGUCUGAUGGAGCAAUGCCACGUGGAGGUAGAAGGCCCACGGGUCGUGAACUUCUUUUACCCGAGAAAGAGACCUUGAAUUUGCUUCUAAUUUAACUUAGUCUGGUGGGAAGUAGUUUAAAAUCGUUUUCAGACUUGUUAACAUUUUGGAAUGAUGUCUUUUUUGUUAACUACA